GGCUGUUUGACCUUGUAUUUUGACUAUUCUUAGCAACAAUGAGGGUAUAGUGUCUUGUUUUGCUGACGAUACUACAAUAAUAGUGCAGGAUGAGUCCUGGGAAGCCAUGGUGAGGAAUGCAGAAGCUGCUAUUACAAAAAUUAAGUGUUGAUUAGAUCACAGCAUAUUGUCACUUAACAUUGAAAAGACAAAGUUUAUCACAUUUGGGUUAACUGCAAGAACUCUUCCUACUGUGCAGACUCUUAGGAUUCACAGCCCUAGAUUUUUAGAUGUAAUGCAGUGUGACUGUUCUCACAAAAUCGAGAGGCCAAUGACUUUAAAAUAUUUAGGUAUUUUUCUAGAUCUAAAUCUUACCUACAAAACACAUGUUGGUUAUGUCACAAAAAAGAUUAGAAAACUCAUUCAUAAAUUUUGAAAGCUUAGAAAAGUUUUGACCCUUAAAAUUAAUUUAAACAAGUUAAAAAUGGUUUAUUAUCCAUUGGUUGAAUCAAUUAUAAAUUAUGGAAUAAUAAUAUGGGGGCAGUGCAAGUAAAAUAACAAAUUCUAACCUCUUUAUAGCUCAAAAAUACAUUAUAAAGAUCAUGAUGUUUAAAAAUAAAAGAUUUUCCACAAACGUACUCUUUCAGGAGAGUAAACUCUUGACAUUAGUUUAGUUAUACAUACAGGCUGUAAUAUGCUUUAUGCUUAAUAGUCAGUAUUACAGAAUUACAGAUAGUCUUGAUUUCUUUGCAGUUGCAGAAAUCCUAUUUAAUGGAUUAUUUAACAUAUAUGAUGUUCGAUAAAAAGGAAUAUGCAGAUAUCUCUAGUUAGCAUACAUUAAAAUACAAAUAUGCCCAGCCAAUCAGAGAAAUUGAGAGUGAAGCAGCACUGCUGAUCCUUUCGUGAAAGUUCGUACGUCAAAUUUCGUUGCCGAUUAGCUAAGGAAAUUGAAAAUCAACGGAUUGGUUUUGUUUAACUUAACCUAUAUUGCAGAUUUUAUUUGCUUUGCUUGCUUCCUAAUAAUUGAUUUAAUUAUCAACAAAUAUAUCAACUUUGCGACUAUUUGAGUGAAAAUUCAUAGUGUAUAGUGUUGAGUGUUUACUCCAUUAUCUAUACAAUCCAUAUAUGCUGCUUUUGGGCUCAAAAACAAACAAUUUUGAGUUUCAUUACCUUUCAAUAAACUUGUCAGUGUUUCUUAGUGCAUAAUUUCCUUCCACUUAAACCAAUAUUUGCACUUAUCUGUUGCUGUCUGUUAGACAAUUAUGGCAUCUCUAAGUCAACAAAAUGCAAUCUAUGAAGUUUGUGAUAAGAAAUUUUCAAGCACAUCUACCAGAAACAGGCAUUGGAAACAGUUUCACCCUGAAUUUGUUGGGAAGGAACAAAUAAAACACAUUAUAUGUCCAAUGUGUACUAAUGAUAUCCAGACAUUUUCAUAUUUUAACUGUUUAAACAAACAUUUGCUUGAUAUUCACCAUAUAACUGUCAAAGAAUCAAUUUUAAAUUUUAGGAAUUUUCAAGAAUUUACAUCUUGGAGGGCACAAGAUAAUAGGGAAGUAGAUUAUGCUUGUCAGAUCCGAAACAAGUUUAAGAAUGGGGAAGAACACAUAUUUUUUUUCAAUUGCAACAGGAGCGAUAUCAGAGGAUUUAAUAGAGCAUGGAAAGUGAGAAGUAAGAAGUCUGGGGGAAGCUUUCGCAUUCCAAGAACAUGUCCCUCAAGGAUUUUAGUAAAAGUUUUAACAAGCGGUAAUAAUCUUUUAUUAUUUUUUAUAUAGGUAGUUACAUUCAUUCAUAAUUUUAAUACCUAUAGGAUCAGUUGCUGUGAAAUUUGUGGAAACUCAUGUAGGACAUGCAGAUGAGUUAAGAACAAAACGGUUGUCCAAGGCUGAAGAAAAUAUUGUAGUUGGGCAAUUGACUGCAGGAGUGACAAACGAAAGGAUAAUUCAAGAUGCUAGGAAAAUUCAGAACAACACAAUACAAAGACUAAACCUACUAACAAGAGGAGACCUUGCAUAUUUGAGAAGGAAGUAUAAUAUUGAUAAACUGUAACAUCUGUAAAAUAUGUUUUCAUAAAUACAGAUGUGAGUGUCCAGAAAAUUCUGUCAAAACAGUACUUUGUAAGCAUAUACAUGCUGUAGCCAUUUUUGAGCAGGGGAGCGAGUUUGUUGUAGGUUCCCCAACUGUGAGUGAAGAGGAAGAGGAUAAUGUUUUGUUUGUUGAUCAACCCACAACUAGCCAAAUCAAUUAUCAGGAGGAUGCAAGAAAUUUGUAGCUAUGGUAGAAGUUUAGAUAAAAAUGCAUUUUCCAGAUUUAUGGCUGUAAUCAACAAAUUUAAAAAUAAAGAGGUGGAGGAAGAAAAUUCUCAGGGCAUUGAAAAGAAAAGAAAAAUUGAAAAACAAAUGUACUAUCCAAAUAAAAAAUAAGCUAGAUUUCU